rnacentral:tRNA from 1 species
UGGGGUAUAGCUCAGUGGUAGGGUGUGUGCUUGGCGCACACAAGGUCCUAGGUUCAAUUCCCAGUGCCUCCA